rnacentral:rRNA from 1 species
UACAGAGGUCCCGAGCGUUGUUCGGAUUCACUGGGCGUAAAGGGUGCGUAGGUGGCGAGGUAAGUCGGAUGUGAAAGCUCGGAGCUCAACUCCGGAAUGGCAUUGGAAACUACCUUGCUCGAGGGUUGGAGGGGGGACUGGAAUGCUUGGUGUAGCAGUGAAAUGCGUAGAUAUCAAGCGGAACACCAGUGGCGAAGGCGAGUCCCUGGACAACUCCUGACACUGAGGCACGAAAGCUAGGGGAGCAAACAGG